rnacentral:lncRNA from 1 species
GCCUUCAUAGCAACCAUAUUCAACAAGGCUACGCUGAUCUUCCUUCAUCAGACAACCAUUGUUAUGCGUGAGCAAAAGCCUACUUUCUUCAAAUUCCUCUUUCUUUGCGAUCUCUCUCUUCAAACCACUAACAGUUUCUUCAUCUCCCACAUCUAUAUAGAAAAACCUACCAGUGAGUAUCUCUAUUCCCAAUCUCAUCUUGUCUUGCAUUUCUUGGACUCUGUUGACCUUUUUAUAGAGGGGUCUAUCCUUAGUGCAAUCUACUU